AUGUUCGGUUAAGUCCGCUAACGAGCGCAACCCUCGCUGUGUGUUAUAUGUGUCACACGGGACUGCCGGGUCUUAAGCCCGGGAGGAAGGUGGGGGAUGAUGUCAAGUCAGCAUGGCCUUUAUAUCCUGGGCUACACACACGCUACAAUGGCCAGCACAGUAGGUUGCUAAGCCGCGAGGUGGAGCCAAUCCAUAAAGCUGGUCUCAGUUCAGAUUGCAGGCUGCAACCCGCCUGCAUGAAGAUGGAGUUGCUAGUAACCGCAGGUCAGCUAUACUGCGGUGAAUACCGGUUCCCGGGGCUU
rnacentral:rRNA from 1 species